AUGUUAUGAGGCACUUGAAAGAUAGACGUGUAAGAUCUGCUCAAACUGUUACAUACAAAUGUAAGACCUGUUCAAAGGUUUAUUCCCUCCUUGCAGAUAUGGAAGAGCAUCUGCGAACAAAAAACAAGGAUUUGGAAACCAAGAGAGAUAAAGAAAUGACAAGUUUUCCUCAAACAGAACUACCAGAAGUUAACAGUAAGCUAGAAGUGGUGAAAGAAAAUACCCUAAUUGAUGACGUUUUUAGGCAGCCUUUUCAAGUUUAUUCUCUCCAAAACGUUCAAGUUUAUUCUCUUAUUAAACUGGAAACCGCAAACGCAGUGAUGAUGGGAAACCAAGAUACUUUGAGUUUGGGAGAAGUGAAGAAGAGAAAAUAUAGUGAACGACGGGAGAAAUGUCAGUACUGUGAACUGACUCUGGAGACCUUGUCUGAAAAAAAUGAGCAUCUGGCAAAUCAGGAAAGCUGUAAACAACUGGAGUAUUUCUGUAUUUGUAAACAUUGUAAUAAAGCAUUCAGAGAUGAAAAAGAUGUGAAGAUACAUUGGAGAAUGAAAAAAGCUUCGAUAAACUGCUAUAUUGAGUUUAAAUGUAAAACAUGUCGUCAGGUGUUUCCAAGUCUAAAUGACGUAACUGUUCACCUAAGUCGUUGUUCCACUGAUCCUCUAGGAAGAAAGAGGAAAAAGAUAAAGCUUGAAGUGGAUGAUCAGAGAAGAUAUACCAAGGACGAUCCCAUCAAACUUGAUGUUCUGGAAUAUUCAGACAUUAAAGAAGAAGAGCCGGAUGAAGAUCCUUUGGCGGGUUACUAAGUGACAAAACUAGCUCUAAUAAUACCUAGCCUGAUUUCUAAAAGUCGAUUUUUUUUUCAUUUGUGCUUAAUUGAAUGAAAAAUCCGAAAUAAGAAAAUCUCCGAAUUCCUUACUAACUGUCUGACAUUUGAUAAUUUCCGAAGCAACAAUGGCUACACCCAGAAAAAAGAUUACAGAUCGCCCAAUAUUUUGUAUCAAAUGAAUAUUGAAUAUCUAUGACACCAAUCGAUUUUUUUUGUUCUAAACCAAGAUUAUUCGAUACAGAGGUGUAAAAAAGAAUAUCCUUUUGUAGAUAUUCCAAGAAAGUUCUUAGUUGUUCUGUAUUUAUUUCUUUGAAAUUUCCAGUAAAAGACUCUUAUUAACUACUGUUACGUACAUUAUAGAACUUACCAUCGAACACAUAAGCAAGUGGGAUGUUAACCUUUCCCUUCUUUGUUAACUUGUUUGUCAAGAAAAUUGCUUUGAAAAUGAAUACGACAUCCCCCUGUAUUUUAGGGUGAAAGUGUAAAGUAUGCAAGAUACAACUAAUAUUACAGAAUUGAAAGUAAAAUUCCAAGAAUUUAAUUCCUAUGAUUUGUCUUUUACAAAUGUAUCCCAGAAACUAUUCUUGUAAAAUAAAAGUAAAACCAUUUAAAUUUGAAAACAUAAAAUGUGUCAGAACUAUGCAUGAUCAUGUUGUUGCUAAUAUCCACCGAUCUGAAAAUUAUAGAAUACUGGUUAGGUU